UACGGAGGGUGCAAGCGUUAAUCGGAAUUAUUGGGCGUAAAGAGCUCGUAGGCGGUCUGUCGCGUCUGCUGUGAAAACUCGGGGCUUAACCCCGGGCCUGCAGUGGGUACGGGCAGACUAGAGUGCGGUAGGGGAGACUGGAAUUCCUGGUGUAGCGGUGAAAUGCGCAGAUAUCAGGAGGAACACCGGUGGCGAAGGCGGGUCUCUGGGCCGUAACUGACGCUGAGGAGCGAAAGCAUGGGGAGCGAACAGG
rnacentral:rRNA from 1 species